AAAAAAACCCUAAACUUAUAAAUUAAAAAAAAAAAACAGGUAAUAAAGUCUUGAGGGAAAGAUCUAGAAAAUAAAAUUUUUAGCUUUGGCAAGCAACACUUUGUUUUGACUUUUGAUUUUGAUUGGCUCAUAACUAAGAUGUGGUCUAAAAAGUUAAUUAUACAAUUUUUUAUGAUUAAUGUUAAUUUAUACAAGUAAUAAGAAAAAGGAAGUACUAAGAACUUGGCAACUACCUCACAAACCAAUAAUCCUGUCACCUUGCUACUGUUGCCCCUUUGCCUCUGAUUGGUUCUGACAAAUUUUCAGGUCUACUAGUAGUUAGCGCCUCACAGUGUGAGUUGAGGGGAGGCCUUCAGUGCCAUGGGGCUUUGCAGUAUUUCGUUCCCCUCUUGGGUAAUUGCGAGCAGCUGCACGGCCAAGGAAGCAGGGCUUUGACUCAUUUCCACCUCACCAGAACCUAGGGUUAGGGUUAGAGUCUACAGACCACUCAUAUGCACCUUAUAGUAAACUGAUUUUGAGCCACAACCAAAUCAACAUCACUAACAGUGUUACUGUGAAGGUGUGGUACCUCUGUGCUGCACAGUGUAAACUGGACAAAAUUAGUCCGAAAAUAGAACAGAAAAAGGUUUUAUUGUUGUUUCUGUGUUAAAGGGACAUUCUCUUCUUUCUUUGGACUACAGUAUGCAUUCGAUCAAGAGUUCACUUCUGCCUCCUGUUUGAUCCAGCUUCCUGGAUCCUUGAACCACCUAUACUUGCUGCCUGGCUUUCCUUUUGUACAUUCACCAGCUGGUGUUUCCAACAAACUGUAGUAUGAGCCAAGUUACUUACUUUGGUAUGAAACAGUCGGCAAAAAUGAGAGAAAAAAAUAUUUUGACCAGGUAAAAUUAGUAUGCCAUGUAACAGGUCAUUGCCCUCCCUGCCACUAGAGGGCACUGUGCUAACCUGCUGUAUAUCAUCAUUGGAGCUAGUACUAUGUGGCCAUUGUGGUGGAAACACUCGUUCUCCACUUCCUCCAUGUGGUCUGUUGGUCAGUGUGAAGGUCUGUUUCAAAUAUUGUUGAAUGUUUUUUUUCAGGUUAUUUUGCUGCUUUGGCCUAGUGUGUGAAUUGAGGAGUGGUGACCUGAAGGUGGUUAAGGUGCUGGUCUGAAACACCCUGAUCGCCACACUUCCCUCAGCGUGCCCCAUCACCAGCAUUUCUUCACAGGGUGUGGAGGAGGCUCGGCUACUUGGCUGUAGCUCAAAUGGUUCUGAUUAUCAUGGGCUGUAUGGAAACGACAGGUCCUCUCUGCCAGCACGGCGGUUUCCACCCUGCCUCGCUACCACACGCACUCUCACUCCUCCUCCAUCAGACCCACGUUCACCCACCACACUACUGCGUGGAAGAGCAGGCAGACCCCGGCACCCUCACCCCCACCACAUCCUACGCAUGCACACACACACACACACACACACAAAUGUAAAUCAGCCCUCUGGACAGCCAGGCUGAAAAGGCAGAAGAAGUCAGGAGCGUAUGGCCAAACAGCGGGGCAUCCACCCAGAGCCCCUCACCCUUACGUCACCACUUGUUCUCACCCCUCUCCAUCGCUCUCUUUCUUUUCUCUUUCU